GGGGUGACUAGUGACAGAAGGAGGGAGUAGUGAUGGAGGGAGGGAGUAGUGACAGAGGGAGAUGGUGACGAGUGACAGAGAGUGAGGGAGGUGGUGACUAGUGACAGUCACCACCUCCCUCACUCUGUCACUAGUCACCCCUUCCUUCCCUCACUCUGCCACUAGUCACCCCAUCCCUCUCUCUGUCACUAGUCACUCCCUCCUAACUCUGUCACUGUCACCUGCUCCCUCACUCUGUCACUAAUCACCCCC